GUGGGGAAUUUUGGACAAUGGGCGCAAGCCUGAUCCAGCAAUGCCGCGUGCAGGAAGAAGGCCUUCGGGUUGUAAACUGCUUUUGUACGGAACGAAACGGUCCGGGUUAAUACCCUGGGCUAAUGACGGUACCGUAAGAAUAAGCACCGGCUAACUACGUGCCAGCAGCCGCGGUAAUACGUAGGGUGCAAGCGUUAAUCGGAAUUACUGGGCGUAAAGCGUGCGCAGGCGGUUUUGUAAGACAGGCGUGAAAUCCCCGGGCUCAACCUGGGAAUUGCGCUUGGGACUGAAAGGCUGGAGUGCGGCAGAGGGGGAUGGAAUUCCGCGUGUAGCAGUGAAAUGCGUAGAUAUGCGGAGGAACACCGAUGGCGAAGGCAAUCCCCUGGGCCUGCACUGACGCUCAUGCACGAAAGCGUGGGGAGCAAACAGGAUUAGAAACCCCUGUAGU
rnacentral:rRNA from 1 species